AACGAACGCUGGCGGCAUGCCUAACACAUGCAAGUCGAACGAGGUCUUCGGGUCUAGUGGCGCACGGGUGCGUAACGCGUGGGAAUCUGCCCUUUGGUUCGGAAUAACAGUUGGAAACGACUGCUAAUACCGGAUGAUGACGAAAGUCCAAAGAUUUAUCGCCAGAGGAUGAGCCCGCGUAGGAUUAGCUAGUUGGUGUGGUAAAGGCGCACCAAGGCGACGAUCCUUAGCUGGUCUGAGAGGAUGAUCAGCCACACUGGGACUGAGACACGGACCAGACUCCUACGGGAGGCAGCAGUGGGGAAUAUUGGACAAUGGGCGAAAGCCUGAUCCAGCAAUGCCGCGUGAGUGAUGAAGGCCUUAGGGUUGUAAAGCUCUUUUACCCGGGAUGAUAAUGACAGUACCGGGAGAAUAAGCUCCGGCUAACUCCGUGCCAGCCGCCGCCGCAG
rnacentral:rRNA from 1 species